AGUCGAGUGCGCGUGCCGUAGCAAUACGGUAUGGCGCACGGCGCACGGGUGCGUAACACGUGGGCAAUCUGCCCUCCGGUGGGGAAUAACCCCGCGAAAGCGGGGCUAAUUCCGCAUAACAUUCCCUGGACUCUGGUUCGGGGAUUCAAAGCAGCAAUGCGCCGGAGGAGGAGCCCGCGCCCGAUUAGCUAGUUGGUGAGGUGACGGCUCACCAAGGCAAUGAUCGGUAGCUGGUCUGAGAGGAUGGCCAGCCACACUGGAACUGAGACACGGUCCAGACUCCUACGGGAGGCAGCAGUGGGGAAUCUUGCGCAAUGGGCGAAAGCCUGACGCAGCGACGCCGCGUGGGGGAUGAAGCUUCUCGGAGUGUAAACCCCUUUCGACCGGGACGAAUGCCCGCAAGGGAGUGACGGUACCGGUAGAAGAAGCCCCGGCUAACUACGUGCCAGCAGCCGCGGUAAGACGUAGGGGGCCAGCGUUGUUCGGAAUUACUGGGUGUAAAGGGUUCGUAGGCGGUGUGGCAAGUCGGGAGUGAAAUUUCUGGGCUUAACUCAGAAGCUGCUUCCGAAACUGCUGUGCUAGAGUGCGGGAGAGGCGCGUGGAAUUGCAGGUGUAGCGGUGAAAUGCGUAGAUAUCUGCAGGAACACCCGUGGCGAAAGCGGCGCGCUGGACCGUUACUGACGCUGAGGAACGAAAGCUAGGGGAGCAAACA
rnacentral:rRNA from 1 species